UCUAAAUAAUAGAAGAUAGGUUCACGUAUAUUUUUUUAUUUAAAAGUAUAUACUGAUUAAAAGGGAAGUUAUGGGUGUAAUUCCCACACGGUCCCGCCGCUGUAAUAGAGUAGUUUUCUAAAUAUUAUGCCACUAUAUAAUUAUGGGAAGGCUUUUUAGAAGAUGAUGAUACUUAAGUCAGAAGACCUGCCUAUUUUUUGGAAGUAUC
rnacentral:ncRNA from 2 species